GUUUUGGUAGCUCAGGGGUAGAGCGUCAGAUUGCAAUUGGUUCGAAAGACCAUCAACAAUCUGCAGGUCUCGGGUUCAAAUCCCGAUCGAAACU